rnacentral:miRNA from 1 species
GGUUUCUCUGUAUAGCCCUGGCUGUCCUGGAACUCACUCUGUAGACCAGGCUGGCCUUGAACUCAGAAAUCCGCCUGCCUCUGAUUCCUGAGUGCUGGGUCUAAAGGCAUGUGCCACCACUGCCUG